ACAUUUUGAAUGCCAGGCACUGUGAUCUGGAAGAAUAGAACAGUGAACUAAAACACCAUGACCUCUGCCUGAAUAGAACUCCUAAUGUAAGCAGGUAGGGUUCUUCUUAAUGGAGAGAAUUGCUGAUUAAAUUGGUGACAAGAAAUUGCACUUAAAGAUUCAGCAGACAGAGAAUAUAAACACGGGGGAUAAACACAUCUGCCUGCAUCAAUCAAGGACAGCUGCGGUCUACCCCCAGAAAGAGAGUGUCCUCUGAGAUAGCACACCUUUGUUCUGAGUCACAGCUCCAUCUGGAGGGCCCGCCAUGCUCUGGCUAGUCCUCCCCCUCCAAAAGCCUGGACUCAUCUGGAUGGACUUCUGAGGUGAGGACUGCUGCCAGCCAGUCUUAGGUUUCUUCCUCGCCUUCUGGACCAGCAGCACCAGCUCCUGUCUGAAGCAGCUUUUAUCAGUGGUUCUCAAACUCAGAUAUUGAGGAAUUCUGAUGAAGGAAGUGGCACACACUCGGCACAGCUAAGAUGGAGAUGCUAAGACAAGGAUAGAUGCGAUUCACAGAUCGCCCACCAUGUAUUCCAUUCUUAAACUCUCAAGGCCUCUGGGAGAAUCCACAG
rnacentral:lncRNA from 1 species